rnacentral:sRNA from 1 species
GCUGGGUGUGGUGGCACACACCUGUGGUCCCAGCUACUCGGGAGGCUGAGGCAGGAGGAUUGCUUAAGCCCAGGAGGUCGAGGCUGCAGUGAGCCGUGAUCACGCCACUGCACUCCAUCCUGGGCAACAGAGCAAGACCCUGUCUCCA